AGCCCGCGUAGCUCAACUGGCAGAGCGUCGCAUUCGUAAUGCGAAGGUUGGGAGUUCGAUUCUCCCCGCUGGCUU
rnacentral:tRNA from 1 species